rnacentral:rRNA from 1 species
UACGUAGGGACCAAGCGUUGUUCGGAUUUACUGGGCGUAAAGGGCGCGUAGGCGGCGUGACAAGUCACUUGUGAAAUCUCCGGGCUUAACUCGGAACGGCCAAGUAAUACUGUCACGCUAGAGUGCGGAAGGGGCAAUCAGAAUUCUUGGUGUAGCGGUGAAAUGCGUAGAUAUCUGUAGGAACACCCGUGGCGAAGGCGGCUCGCUGGACCGCAACUGACGCUGAGGAACGAAAGCUAGGGGAGCAAACAGG